rnacentral:tRNA from 1 species
GAGGGUAUAGCUCAGUAUAGUGUAGUGCUUAACAUGCAUGAGGUCCUGGGUUCAAUCCCCAGUACCUCCA